AUUGGGCGUAAGCGCGCGCAGGCGGCCUUUUAAGUCUGAUGUGAAAGCCCACGGCUCAACCGUGGAGGGUCAUUGGAAACUGGAAGGCUUGAGUGCAGAAGAGAAGAGCGGAAUUCCACGUGUAGCGGUGAAAUGCGUAGAGAUGUGGAGGAACACCAGUGGCGAAGGCGGCUCUUUGGUCUGUAACUGACGCUGAGGCGCGAAAGCGUGGGGAGCGAACAGGAUUAGAUACCCUGGUAGUCCACGCCGUAAACGAUGAGUGCUAAGUGUUGGGGGGUUUCCGCCCCUCAGUGCUGCAGCUAACGCAUUAAGCACUCCGCCUGGGGAGUACGGCCGCAAGGCUGAAACUCAAAGGAAUUGACGGGGGCCCGCACAAGCGGUGGAGCAUGUGGUUUAAUUCGAAGCAACGCGAAGAACCUUACCAGGUCUUGACAUCCCGCUGACCGGUCUGGAGACAGAUCUUCCCCUUCGGGGGCAGCGGUGACAGGUGGUGCAUGGUUGUCGUCAGCUCGUGUCGUGAGAUGUUGGGUUAAGUCCCGCAACGAGCGCAACCCUUGAUCUUAGUUGCCAGCAUUUAGUUGGGCACUCUAAGGUGACUGCCGGUGACAAACCGGAGGAAGGUGGGGAUGACGUCAAAUCAUCAUGCCCCUUAUGACCUGGGCUACACACGUGCUACAAUGGAUGGUACAAAGGGCUGCAAGACCGC
rnacentral:rRNA from 1 species